rnacentral:lncRNA from 1 species
GCAAAUAUCUCACAUCUUAUGUAAAAGAUAUCCAAUUGUCGAUUAGAGCAUAUAGGGGUAAAAUAUAAAUCAACUUUAUGGAAACAAAAUAUAAAAUCAACUUAUUUUCUAUAGUCCCCUGUGAUGAGUUUUUCUUUUCCUUCAAAGAUUCGCAAGGUGUGCCGUAGUUGUUUCGUGUGCAACUUCAAAUUCUUUAUCAAGUCUUCUUCCCUCACCCAUUACCGCCUGAAAUUUAUAAUUUUUAAUGAAUACACACAUAUACUGCUCAUGCUGGAAAAAUAAAACAAGAAAAUCAAUUAAAUUUGAUCGACAUCAACACGAGAAUUGAAAUCCGUAAAUAUUUCACCAUGAAUAACAAUCUCAUUAUUUAUAGAUAAGAAACUAACUUGGUCCUAAAGUAACUAACCACUUUUCUCCAAACAAACAAAGUAAGCAUUCACUAUAAUGAAAAAGACUUCUAAAUUCGAAAAAGAACAGAAAAUUAAUUAAAAAAAUAAACAAUUAAGUAAAGAAAACGACAGUUUUAUGAAAACUUUAAAGAAGAUCUUUUUUUCUUUUUAUGACUUUGUUUUUAAGAUUUCCUUUUAGUAGGUUUCAAAGUCCUUAUUCUUUGAAAUUGAAUUAUGUCGAAAAUUAUUUAUAUAUUAUUUUUUUUAAAAAAAGAAAGAAAAUUGAUUGAAACAGAAAAGUGGGGAAAUUAUAAAUAAAUUAAAACGUAUGCACUUAGAACUCUUUUUUACUUUAGAUUUUAGAAGUCCUUAUUCUCAUAUAUGGAUUAGGAUUAUAACUUUCAGAUAAAAAGAUAUACUUCAUACAUAUCCUGAGGGAAGAAUCUGAAGAUAAAAAGACACUUUAUAUAUAUCCUGAGGGAAGAAUCUGAAGAUAGACGGAUGAUUAACGAACAAGAAGCUUUGAAAUUUCUAAUUAAUUUAUUUAAUAAGGUAGUGUUCACUUGUUUCCUCUUAAGCUAAGGUUAAAUUUUUUAAUUUUAUAUAAAUAUCCUAAUAUAAAAAAAUUACUUUAGUUAAUUUUCAAGUCCAAAAUAUUAGGACACUAAUUAAAAUCCUAAAUAUCAUAGGAAUCAUAAAAUAACUACAAUUGAGAAAUUAGAAUGGUUGAACAAUCCCAUAGAAAAGAAGAACAUCAUAUUUUCUAAUGUAAAAUAGAUUAUAAAUUGAUAAAGAUGACGGUAAGAUCUCAAACACUUCGUUGACUGCUUCGUCGAAUUAUUACCACCGAAUUCAGCAAGACAUGAUUAUUAAAUUGUUAUUGAUGUGUUGUAUUUAAUUACUUUUACUUUCUUGAAACAUGCAGUAAUCUUAAAGAUUAGAUGCCAUAUUCUAAGUAAAAAUAGAGUGAAGAACAAAAGCAUUCGUGACAAUUCCUUAUGUGAAGUCACUAUCAAAGCUUGAAUAUGAUCAAAAACAGGUUUAUUAGUAUAAUGCAGUAUUCUCAAUUAACGUAUUUAAAAGUCAUAUUGAAAAAAUUCAAAUUUGAUUGACUCAACUCGACGUAUAUGUCGCAAGCAAAAUGUACAACACCUUGAAUUUGAACACAUGAAAAUUGGGCAAUCAGAAUUAAUUACGCCAAUGAAAUUAGCAACAGUUGCUUUAUGAAAGGGCAAACUUUAAAACUUAGAAUAAUUAUGGACUUACUAAAAGAAACAAAAACAUUAUAUAUUGUCAGACUUCCAUAAAAAUCAUGAUAAGAGAAUUUUUAACUUUGCUAUAUAAAUACCAGUAAAGAAGACGGAAGCAUAAUCAUGAUGAACUUUGGUAUGUGAAUAGAAUUUUUUAUGUUUUCUCUUCAAAG